GGCUUCGUGGCCCAAUGGCAAGGCGUCUGACUACGAGAAAGAGAGGGAGGUAUUUCAAGAAAUUGAAAGUCUCUCUAUCCGCACCGGUAAUCAGGAGAUUCUGGGUUCGACCCCCAGCGAGGUCA